GACGUAGGGCGCGAGCGUUAUCCGGAUUUACUGGGCGUAAAGGGUGUGCAGGCGGGCCAUUAAGUGGUGUAUGAAAUAUCCCGGCUCAACCGGGAGAGGUUAUGCCAGACUGGUGGUCUAGAGAGCGAGAGAGGGACGUGGAAUUCCAGGUGUAGCGGUGAAAUGCGUAGAUAUCUGGAGGAACACCGGUGGCGAAGGCGGCAUCCUGGACCGACACUGACGCUGAGGCGCGAAAGCUAGGGGAGCAAACGGG
rnacentral:rRNA from 1 species